CAGUAGCCGCGGUAAUACGAAGGGGGCUAGCGUUGUUCGGAUUUACUGGGCGUAAAGCGCACAUAGGCGGACACUUAAGUCAGGGGUGAAAUCCCAGAGCUCAACUCUGGAACUGCCUUUGAUACUGGGUGUCUGGAGUAUGGAAGAGGUAAGUGGAAUUCCGAGUGUAGAGGUGAAAUUCGUAGAUAUUCGGAGGAACACCAGUGGCGAAGGCGGCUUACUGGUCCAUUACUGACGCUGAGGUGCGAAAGCGUGGGGAGCAAACAGGAUUAGAUACCCCAGUAGUCCCUGUCUCUUAUAC
rnacentral:rRNA from 1 species